rnacentral:rRNA from 1 species
AUUGAACGCUGGCGGCAUGCUUUACACAUGCAAGUCGAACGGUAACAGGUUAAGCUGACGAGUGGCGAACGGGUGAGUAAUGCGUCGGAACGUGCCCGAUCGUGGGGGAUAACGCAGCGAAAGCUGCGCUAAUACCGCAUACGAUCUGAGGAUGAAAGCGGGGGACCGUAAGGCCUCGCGCGAUCGGAGCGGCCGAUGUCAGAUUAGGUAGUUGGUGGGGUAAAGGCUCACCAAGCCGACGAUCUGUAGCUGGUCUGAGAGGACGACCAGCCACACUGGGACUGAGACACGGCCCAGACUCUUACGGGAGGCAGCAGUGGGGAAUUUUGGACAAUGGGCGCAAGCCUGAUCCAGCAAUGCCGCGUGCAGGAAGAAGGCCUUCGGGUUGUAAACUGCUUUUGUACGGAGCGAAAAGGCUUUCUCUAAUACAGGAGGCUGAUGACGGUACCGUAAGAAUAAGCACCGGCUAACUACGUGCCAGCCGCCGCAGUAACAC